UUAAGUAAUGGAAAUUUUUCGUUUCUGCAAGCAAUCUGAAUACCUAAACAUCGUUUUUUUUUUAAUUUUUUAUUUUAAAUAAUAGUAAUGGGGCGUAUAUUUAUAUAAAAUGAAGAAAAAAAUGCUAAGAAAAACCGAGCGAGAAUCUGGCAAUUUGAAAAGAAAAGUUGAUCAUGAAAUUGCUAAACUGGUGGUAACAUGUAAAAAAAUGAUUCAGUAUUUAUAGAUAUUGAAGAUAUAAGCAAAUAAUGUUAGCAUUGUGGAGCUUUGAGAUAUGAAUAGGAAGUAAACCGAUCGGGAAACAUUUGCAAGACAUGUAUUCCUCAUUUAUUGUAUUCCAACUUCAUUUCUACAUGGAUUAUUACAAUAAUUUAUCUUCCUGACAAUGUAUGCUGAUGAAGAUUGUUGACAUCAUCACCAUGCAACUUAUCAAAAUACAACAUAAGCUUGAAAAGAAAUCAUUUCUAAUGUUUUCAUUUAUUUUCUAUUCUUUGAAUUUGAUGUGAUGUCUAUUAUAUAUAUAUACACACACAUAAGCCAGGACUGAAAUAGAAUUGAAAAGAUAAUAAACUAUCAAAUUUUAUUCAUUGAGUUUGAGUUGGUUAUUAUUAUUGAGUUGGUUAACUGCAUUCAAACCAAAUGAUGUGAGUCCAGACAAGAAAAUAGGAAAUUCUAUACAUUUGAUAAAAGAUGCAUAUUCUCAGCAAAAUAACAGUGAAGUCAAUGGAUGUUUCUAGAAGGUUCUGACCUUUUCUUCAGCAAAAGAAGUUAAUUUAUCUUGAAUGUGCCUCAAUUAUUCCUACCAUGGAAAUUCUGUCGGAAGACUCUAUCAUGGAUUUUCAGUUGAUGCCAUAUAAAAAAGCUAAGGGUAUUACUGAAAAUAGAGCAAAUACAAGUGCUGCAAGCCAUGUUGCAGUUAUCACAAAUAACAUGAGUUCAGAGUCAAGAGUAUUUGAGUUUUGUGAGCCAUCCUAUUACUUCUCUGUUAAGGAAGUAUCACAACUUGAAUUUAACCAUCAAAGUACUCAUUAACUAGUUUAUUUGAGUUUUGUGAGUCAUCCUAUUACUUCUCUGUUAAGGAAGUAUCACAACUUGAAUUUAACCAUCAAAGUACUCAUUAACUAGUUGACUAUCCACAUUAACUUCUAUGGCUGUACUUAUUAUGCUUUUAUUGAUUUUUUUUAUCUGUGUGUUAUGAUGUUUGUAUUCUUCAAACUAUUCUUUCACCUAAGUAAUUAUUUAACUACUUCUAAGAUAAAAUCUUUUCAAAAGUUUAUUCAAUUAAGAAAGUUCAAGUCAAUCAUAGAUCCAAAGCAAUUUUGAAUUUUUCAUUGUUAUUUGGAAAUGAAUUUCUAGCUUAUACCUGAAUAAAUAGACAAUAUUAAAAGAAUAAUUAAGGAAUACCCGCCCCCACUUCUUGUUAUUUAAACAGAAACAGAAUGCAGUAAAAAAAAAUGUAAAAAAUUGUAUUUAUUAUUCAAAUUGAAUUGGUAUUAAUAAAUUUAUUACAUGAUGAAGUGGGGAGGGGGCUCACAUGUUAGGGAUUGAAGGCGACCUAAUUGUUUCUUAGCAAAGCAUUAUUUUUUAAUAUUUCUUCUAAAGAAAUUCUGCUGAUGAAAAGGAAUAAGAGAUGGAAUUAAAGUUGACAGUGUAUAGCUGUUUCCAUUUUAGAUUAUUUCCUUUUGAUUUUAUUAAGAAAGAUUUUUUUUUCUUUUACCUGGUGACUGAAUUUCAUAUGAAUGGUGUUGGUUCUAUUUUAAUUUUAUGUCCAUAUAGACCAAUAUGCCUUUGCAGUUGUUUCAGCUUUGUGGUACAUGCUUUUGUGCACUUUUCUUAGUUUGAAUUAUGUUAUUAGAGAGUGGUAUAGAAUAGUCUGCAUCAUUCAUUCAAUUGUGAUACCCAUCGAAAUCAGAAUUGCAAAUGUAUGCCUUCACCAUUGUAAUAAUCUUCUGUCAUUAUGUGUUUUGCCUUCUCCAACUAUCAUCAUUAGGUUUUUUUUCAUUAUUGUCUGAUAAAUUCUUUGACAAUUGUAAUCUUAACUGGAAAAAGAUAUUUCCUAAGUAGUAAGAGAGCUCCCAUGUUUGUGUUAUGACUAUAACUAAUACAAUAUGAUGACAUUACAUAUCUAUUAUUCUAUUAUAGUUGAAGUUCAUUUAGAAAGUUUGAAUUUAAAAAUCCUAUAUUUAAAGAAAUAGUUAAAUUUGAUGACUCUUUAUGCUUCAUGGAAAGAUGGCCUUUGGUGCAAGUCUGCUAUUUAUUUAUCUGUGUAUUUUAACAUAUUAAAAAAAAAUAUGCUGUUUAUAAAUUGAAAUUCUUUUCCAAUAAAACAAAGAAUGAAAUACUUUUAUAUAUAUACUUUUAUCCUAAGAGAACUUACUUGAAUUGUUAAAAACAAAUAUAGUUAUUGAAUUCAUAAAAAAAAUUAUCUCAUAGAAAAAUAUAAACCCAUUUUUAAUAGCAAUCUUUUUAAUAAAUUAAAAGAAGCAUUAUUUUUUUAUUAUUAUGAUUUGCAAAAUUUAUUUAACUUCAUAUAAUCUUUUGCCAAGAUGCAAUGACUCUGUAUAGAAGUAUAGUGUGUUUACCAAAGGACGGGGCCAAAUUAUGUGAUAGCUAUGUUCUGUUUUAAGGCAUAUUAAUAUUUUUGU